GACGAACGCUGGCGGCGUGCCUAAUACAUGCAAGUCGAGCGGACUGAAUGGGAGCUUGCUCUUGUUCGGUCAGCGGCGGACGGGUGAGUAACACGUGGGCAACCUGCCCGCAAGACCGGGAUAACUCCGGGAAACCGGAGCUAAUACCGGAUAACACCGAAGACCGCAUGGUCUUUGGUUGAAAGGCGGCGCAAGCUGCCACUUGCGGAUGGGCCCGCGGCGCAUUAGCUAGUUGGUGAGGUAACGGCUCACCAAGGCGACGAUGCGUAGCCGGCCUGAGAGGGUGACCGGCCACACUGGGACUGAGACACGGCCCAGACUCCUACGGGAGGCAGCAGUAGGGAAUCUUCCGCAAUGGGCGAAAGCCUGACGGAGCGACGCCGCGUGAGCGAAGAAGGCCUUCGGGUCGUAAAGCUCUGUUGUGAGGGACGAAGGAGCGCCGUUUGAGGAAGGCGGCGCGGUGACGGUACCUCACGAGGAAGCCCCGGCUAACUACGUG
rnacentral:rRNA from 1 species